AAGACUUCCUUCGGGAAGUGCAUAAAGUGGCGCACGGGUGAGUAACACGUAAGUAAUCUACCUUCGAGUGGGGAAUAACAGUCGGAAACGACUGCUAAUACCGCAUAAUGCAGCGGCAUCGUAAGAUGACAGUUGUUAAAGGAGCAAUUCGCUUGAAGAGGAGCUUGCGGCAGAUUAGCUAGUUGGUAAGGUAAUGGCUUACCAAGGCAACGAUCUGUAACCGGUCUAAGAGGACGGUCGGUCACACUGACACUGAAUAACGGGUCAGACUCCUACGGGAGGCAGCAGUCGGGAAUUUUGGGCAAUGGGGGAAACCCUGACCCAGCAACGCCGCGUGAAGGAUGAAGUAUUUCGGUAUGUAAACUUCGAAAGAAUAGGAAGAAUUAAUGACGGUACUAUUUAUAAGGUCCGGCUAACUACGUGCCAGCAGCCGCGGUAAUACGUAGGGACCAAGCGUUGUUCGGAUUUACUGGGCGUAAAGGGCGCGUAGGCGGCAUGACAAGUCACUUGUGAAAUCUCCGGGCUUAACUCGGAACGGCCAAGUGAUACUGUCGCGCUAGAGUGCGGAAGGGGCAAUCAGAAUUCUUGGUGUAGCGGUGAAAUGCGUAGAUAUCAAGAGGAAUACCUGAGGUGAAGACGGGUUGCUAGGCCGACACUGACGCUGAGUGCGCGAAAGCCAGGGGAGCAAACGGGAUUAGAUACCCCGGUAGUCCUGGCCCUAAACGAUGAAUACUUGGUGUCUGGAGUUUUUAGUGCUCCGGGUGCCGUCGCUAACGUUUUAAGUAUUCCGCCUGGGGAGUACGCUCGCAAGAGUGAAACUC
rnacentral:rRNA from 1 species